CCUACGGGUGGCAGCAGUGGGGAAUAUUGCACAAUGGGGGAAACCCUGAUGCAGCGACGCCGCGUGAGUGAAGAAGUAAUUCGUUAUGUAAAGCUCUAUCAGCAGGGAAGAAAAUGACGGUACCUGAGUAAGAAGCCCCGGCUAACUACGUGCCAGCAGCCGCGGUACUACGUAGGGGGCAAGCGUUAUCCGGAUUUACUGGGUGUAAAGGGAGCGUAGACGGCAGUGCAAGUCUGGAGUGAAAGGCGGGGGCUCAACCCCCGGACUGCUCUGGAAACUGUACGGCUUGAGUGCAGGAGAGGUACGUGGAAUUCCGAGUGUAGCGGUGAAAUGCGUAGAUAUUAGGAGGAACACCAGUGGCGAAGGCGGUUGACUGGACUGUAACUGACGUUGAGGCUCGAAAGCGUGGGGAGCAAACAGGAUUAGAUACCCUUGUAGUC
rnacentral:rRNA from 1 species